AGUGAACGCUGGCGGUAGGCCUAACACAUGCAAGUCGAACGGCAGCACAGUAAGAGCUUGCUCUUACGGGUGGCGAGUGGCGGACGGGUGAGGAAUACAUCGGAAUCUACUUUUUCGUGGGGGAUAACGUAGGGAAACUUACGCUAAUACCGCAUACGACCUACGGGUGAAAGCAGGGGAUCUUCGGACCUUGCGCGAUUGAAUAAGCCGAUGUCGGAUUAGCUAGUUGGCGGGGUAAAGGCCCACCAAGGCGACGAUCCGUAGCUGGUCUGAGAGGAUGAUCAGCCACACUGGAACUGAGACACGGUCCAGACUCCUACGGGAGGCAGCAGUGGGGAAUAUUGGACAAUGGGCGCAAGCCUGAUCCAGCCAUACCGCGUGGGUGAAGAAGGCCUUCGGGUUGUAAAGCCCUUUUGUUGGGAAAAAAAAGCAGCAGGUUAAUACCCCGCUGUUCUGACGGUACCCAAAGAAUAAGCACCGGCUAACUUCGUG
rnacentral:rRNA from 1 species